UACGGAGGGUGCGAGCGUUGUUCGGAAUCACUGGGCGUAAAGCGCGUGUAGGCGGCCCAUUAAGUCUGAUGUGAAAGCCCGGGGCUCACCCCCGGAAGUGCAUUGGAAACUGAUGGACUCGAGUCCCGGAGAGGAGAGUGGAAUUCCUGGUGUAGCGGUGAAAUGCGUAGAUAUCAGGAGGAACACCGGUGGCGAAGGCGGCUCUCUGGACGGUGACUGACGCUGAGACGCGAAAGCGUGGGGAUCAAACAGG
rnacentral:rRNA from 1 species